rnacentral:rRNA from 1 species
GGGUUGUGAGGUUAAGCGACUAAGCGUACACGGUGGAUGCCCUGGCAGUCAGAGGCGAUGAAGGACGUGCUAAUCUGCGAAAAGCGUCGGUAAGGUGAUAUGAACCGUUAUAACCGGCGAUGUCCGAAUGGGGAAACCCAGUGCAAUUCGUUGCACUAUCGUUAACUGAAUACAUAGGUUAACGAGGCGAACCGGGGGAACUGAAACAUCUAAGUACCCCGAGGAAAAGAAAUCAACCGAGAUUCCCCCAGUAGCGGCGAGCGAACGGGGAGCAGCCCAGAGUCUGAAUCAGCUUGUGUGUUAGUGGAACGGUCUGGAAAGUCCGACGGUACAGGGUGAUAGUCCCGUACACCAAAAUGCACAGGCUGUGAACUCGAAGAGUAGGGCGGGACACGUGGUAUCCUGUCUGAAUAUGGGGGGACCAUCCUCCAAGGCUAAAUACUCCUGACUGACCGAUAGUGAACCAGUACCGUGAGGGAAAGGCGAAAAGAACCCCGGCGAGGGGAGUGAAAAAGAACCUGAAACCGUGUACGUACAAGCAGUGGGAGCACCUUCGUGGUGUGACUGCGUACCUUUUGUAUAAUGGGUCAGCGACUUAUAUUCUGUAGCAAGGUUAACCGUAUAGGGGAGCCGCAGGGAAACCGAGUCUUAACUGGGCGUUAAGUUGCAGGGUAUAGACCCGAAACCCGGUGAUCUAGCCAUGGGCAGGUUGAAGGUUGGGUAACACUAACUGGAGGACCGAACCGACUAAUGUUGAAAAAUUAGCGGAUGACUUGUGGCUGGGGGUGAAAGGCCAAUCAAACCGGGAGAUAGCUGGUUCUCCCCGAAAGCUAUUUAGGUAGCGCCUCGUGAACUCAUCUUCGGGGGUAGAGCACUGUUUCGGCUAGGGGGUCAUCCCGACUUACCAACCCGAUGCAAACUACGAAUACCGAAGAAUGUUAUCACGGGAGACACACGGCGGGUGCUAACGUCCGUCGUGAAGAGGGAAACAACCCAGACCGCCAGCUAAGGUCCCAAAGUCAUGGUUAAGUGGGAAACGAUGUGGGAAGGCACAGACAGCCAGGAUGUUGGCUUAGAAGCAGCCAUCAUUUAAAGAAAGCGUAAUAGCUCACUGGUCGAGUCGGCCUGCGCGGAAGAUGUAACGGGGCUAAACCAUGCACCGAAGCUGCGGCAGCGACACGAUGUGUUGUUGGGUAGGGGAGCGUUCUGUAAGCCUGCGAAGGUGACCUGUGAGGGUUGCUGGAGGUAUCAGAAGUGCGAAUGCUGACAUAAGUAACGAUAAAGCGGGUGAAAAGCCCGCUCGCCGGAAGACCAAGGGUUCCUGUCCAACGUUAAUCGGGGCAGGGUGAGUCGACCCCUAAGGCGAGGCCGAAAGGCGUAGUCGAUGGGAAACAGGUUAAUAUUCCUGUACUUGGUGUUACUGCGAAGGGGGGACGGAGAAGGCUAUGUUAGCCGGGCGACGGUUGUCCCGGUUUAAGCAUGUAGGCUGAUUAUCCAGGCAAAUCCGGAUAAUCAAGGCUGAGGUGUGAUGACGAGGCACUACGGUGCUGAAGUAACAAAUGCCCUGCUUCCAGGAAAAGCCUCUAAGCAUCAGGUAACAUCAAAUCGUACCCCAAACCGACACAGGUGGUCAGGUAGAGAAUACCAAGGCGCUUGAGAGAACUCGGGUGAAGGAACUAGGCAAAAUGGUGCCGUAACUUCGGGAGAAGGCACGCUGGUGUGUAGGUGAAGUCCCUGCGGAUGGAGCUGAGACCAGUCGAAGAUACCAGCUGGCUGCAACUGUUUAUUAAAAACACAGCACUGUGCAAACACGAAAGUGGACGUAUACGGUGUGACGCCUGCCCGGUGCCGGAAGGUUAAUUGAUGGGGUUAUCCGUAAGGAGAAGCUCUUGAUCGAAGCCCCGGUAAACGGCGGCCGUAACUAUAACGGUCCUAAGGUAGCGAAAUUCCUUGUCGGGUAAGUUCCGACCUGCACGAAUGGCGUAAUGAUGGCCAGGCUGUCUCCACCCGAGACUCAGUGAAAUUGAACUCGCUGUGAAGAUGCAGUGUACCCGCGGCAAGACGGAAAGACCCCGUGAACCUUUACUAUAGCUUGACACUGAACAUUGAGCCUUGAUGUGUAGGAUAGGUGGGAGGCUUUGAAGCGUGGACGCCAGUCUGCGUGGAGCCAACCUUGAAAUACCACCCUUUAAUGUUUGAUGUUCUAACGUUGGCCCCUUAUCGGGGUUGCGGACAGUGUCUGGUGGGUAGUUUGACUGGGGCGGUCUCCUCCCAAAGCGUAACGGAGGAGCACGAAGGUUAGCUAAUCCUGGUCGGACAUCAGGAGGUUAGUGCAAUGGCAUAAGCUAGCUUGACUGCGAGCGUGACGGCGCGAGCAGGUGCGAAAGCAGGUCAUAGUGAUCCGGUGGUUCUGAAUGGAAGGGCCAUCGCUCAACGGAUAAAAGGUACUCCGGGGAUAACAGGCUGAUACCGCCCAAGAGUUCAUAUCGACGGCGGUGUUUGGCACCUCGAUGUCGGCUCAUCACAUCCUGGGGCUGAAGUAGGUCCCAAGGGUAUGGCUGUUCGCCAUUUAAAGUGGUACGCGAGCUGGGUUUAGAACGUCGUGAGACAGUUCGGUCCCUAUCUGCCGUGGGCGCUGGAGAAUUGAGGGGGGCUGCUCCUAGUACGAGAGGACCGGAGUGGACGCAUCACUGGUGUUCGGGUUGUCAUGCCAAUGGCACUGCCCGGUAGCUAAAUGCGGAAGAGAUAAGUGCUGAAAGCAUCUAAGCACGAAACUUGCCCCGAGAUGAGUUCUCCCUGAGACUUUAAGUCUCCUGAAGGAACGUUGAAGACGACGACGUUGAUAGGCCGGGUGUGUAAGCGCAGCGAUGCGUUGAGCUAACCGGUACUAAUGAACCGUGAGGCUUAACCUUACAACGCCGAAG